rnacentral:rRNA from 1 species
AUUGAUUGGUGCUUGCAUCAUGAUUUACAUUUGAGUGAGUGGCGAACUGGUGAGUAACACGUGGGAAACCUGCCCAGAAGCGGGGGAUAACACCUGGAAACAGAUGCUAAUACCGCAUAACAACUUGGACCGCAUGGUCCGAGCUUGAAAGAUGGCUUCGGCUAUCACUUUUGGAUGGUCCCGCGGCGUAUUAGCUAGAUGGUGGGGUAACGGCUCACCAUGGCAAUGAUACGUAGCCGACCUGAGAGGGUAAUCGGCCACAUUGGGACUGAGACACGGCCCAAACUCCUACGGGAGGCAGCAGUAGGGAAUCUUCCACAAUGGACGAAAGUCUGAUGGAGCAACGCCGCGUGAGUGAAGAAGGGUUUCGGCUCGUAAAACUCUGUUGUUAAAGAAGAACAUAUCUGAGAGUAACUGUUCAGGUAUUGACGGUAUUUAACCAGAAAGCCACGGCUAACUACGUGCCAGCAGCCGCGGUAAUACGUAGGUGGCAAGCGUUGUCCGGAUUUAUUGGGCGUAAAGCGAGCGCAGGCGGUUUUUUAAGUCUGAUGUGAAAGCCUUCGGCUCAACCGAAGAAGUGCAUCGGAAACUGGGAAACUUGAGUGCAGAAGAGGACAGUGGAACUCCAUGUGUAGCGGUGAAAUGCGUAGAUAUAUGGAAGAACACCAGUGGCGAAGGCGGCUGUCUGGUCUGUAACUGACGCUGAGGCUCGAAAGUAUGGGUAGCAAACAGGAUUAGAUACCCUGGUAGUCCAUACCGUAAACGAUGAAUGCUAAGUGUUGGAGGGUUUCCGCCCUUCAGUGCUGCAGCUAACGCAUUAAGCAUUCCGCCUGGGGAGUACGGCCGCAAGGCUGAAACUCAAAGGAAUUGACGGGGGCCCGCACAAGCGGUGGAGCAUGUGGUUUAAUUCGAAGCUACGCGAAGAACCUUACCAGGUCUUGACAUACUAUGCAAAUCUAAGAGAUUAGACGUUCCCUUCGGGGACAUGGAUACAGGUGGUGCAUGGUUGUCGUCAGCUCGUGUCGUGAGAUGUUGGGUUAAGUCCCGCAACGAGCGCAACCCUUAUUAUCAGUUGCCAGCAUUAAGUUGGGCACUCUGGUGAGACUGCCGGUGACAAACCGGAGGAAGGUGGGGAUGACGUCAAAUCAUCAUGCCCCUUAUGACCUGGGCUACACACGUGCUACAAUGGAUGGUACAACGAGUUGCGAACUCGCGAGAGUAAGCUAAUCUCUUAAAGCCAUUCUCAGUUCGGAUUGUAGGCUGCAACUCGCCUACAUGAAGUCGGAAUCGCUAGUAAUCGCGGAUCAGCAUGCCGCGGUGAAUACGUUCCCGGGCCUUGUACACACCGCCCGUCACACCAUGAGAGUUUGUAACACCCAAAGUCGGUGGGGUAACCUUUUAGGAACCAGCCGCCUAAGGUGGGACAGAUGAUUAGGG